CGGGCUGUAGUACAACGGUCAGUAUGCAAGGCUGGGGGUCUUGCGAUUUGGGUUCAAUUCCCAGCAGCCCGA
rnacentral:tRNA from 1 species